rnacentral:RNase_P_RNA from 1 species
GGAGUCAUCCAGGCAGUCGCUGCCUGUUUGCCGCGAUGAAUGCGGCAAACAGGGAGAGGAAAGUCCGGGCUUCACAGGGCAGGAUGCCGGUUAACGACCGGGCGUUAUAAGGCUUGAAAAGGCCGAAGGCGACGGAAAGUGCAACAGAAAACAAACCGCCGAUGGCUCCGCGAGGAGAUCAGGCAAGGGUGAAACGGCAGGGUAAGCGCCUACCGCGGUUCUGGCAACAGGACUGGCAUGGCAAACCCCAUCCGAAGCAAGACCAAAUAGGGAAGCACAAGGCGCUGCCCGCGCCGCUUCCGGGUAGGUCGCUUGAGCCGCGCAGCAAUGCGCGGCCUAGAGGAAUGACUGCCAGGCGUAUGAGCGCCGUACAGAACCCGGCUUACCGGAUGGCUCCCUCC